rnacentral:lncRNA from 1 species
UUCUGCGGUUCUGCCGCACGUUGAUGCACCUUAGUCCAGUACACUCGGGUCAAUAAAAGACCACAUUAGGAUGGUGAAACGGUGAAAACUGAUGGCUUGCAUAUGUUCAGAGUGUUAUGUUGUAAUGAACAGUGUUAUGUUGUAAUGAACGCAUAUAUCGCAUGAUUGAUAGCUUGGCUAGCUGUGCGCAGGCUUAGUGGAAGCAUUGACUGGGGUGCAGGUCGGCGCGAGCCCGGCUC